UACGUAGGCAGCGAGCGUUGUUCGGAGUUACUGGGCGUAAAGGGUGUGUAGGCGGUUCUCUAAGUUUGGUGUGAAAUCUCCCGGCUCAACCGGGAGGGUGCGCCGAAAACUGGGGGACUCGAGUGCGGGAUGGGAGAGUAGAAUUCCUGGUGUAGCGGUGAAAUGCGUAGAUAUCAGGAGGAAUACCGGUGGUGUAGACGGCUCUCUGGACCGCCACUGACGCUGGGACACGAAAGCGUGGGUAGCAAACAGG
rnacentral:rRNA from 1 species